rnacentral:rRNA from 1 species
UACGAAGGGUGCUAGCGUUGUUCGGAAUCACUGGGCGUAAAGGGCGCGUAGGCGGCGUCGCAAGUCAGAGGUGAAAGCCUGGAGCUCAACUCCAGAAUUGCCUUUGAAACUGCGAUGCUAGAGUGUCGGAGGGGAUAGCGGAAUUCCUAAUGUAGAGGUGAAAUUCGUAGAUAUUAGGAGGAACACCGGUGGCGAAGGCGGCUAUCUGGACGACAACUGACGCUGAGGCGCGAAAGCGUGGGGAUCAAACAGGG